rnacentral:rRNA from 1 species
UAUUCCCCACUGCUGCCUCCCGUAGGAGUCGGGCCCGUGUCUCAGUGCCCGUGUGGCUGAUCAUGCUCUCACAUCAGCUACUGAUCGAAGGCUUGGUGGGCCUUUACCCCGCCAACUACCUAAUCAGCCGCACACCCAUCUCGAAUCGCCGAAACUAUAAUAACAGUGUGAUGCCACACCGCUAUAUUACGGGGUAUUAAUCCACAUUUCUAUGGGCUAUCCCCCUAUUCAAGGAAGGUUGUGUACGUGUUCCGCACCCGUUUGCCGGUCGCCAGCCUCUAUAUUGCUAUAAAGCUGCUGCCCCUCGACUUGCAUGUAUUAAGCCUGCCGCCAGCGUUCAUCCUGAGCCAA